UACGUAGGGGGCAAGCGUUGUCCGGAUUCAUUGGGCGUAAAGAGCGUGUAGGCGGCCAGGUAGGUCGGUUGUGAAAACUGGAGGCUCAACCUUCAGAGGUCGACCGAAACCAUCUGGCUAGAGUCCGGGAGAGGAGAGUGGAAUUCCUGGUGUAGCGGUGAAAUGCGCAGAUAUCAGGAGGAACACCGAUGGCGAAGGCAGGUCUCUGGGCCAUUACUGACACUGAGAAGCGAAAGCAUGGGGAGCGAACAGG
rnacentral:rRNA from 1 species